rnacentral:rRNA from 1 species
UACGUAGGGGGCAAGCGUUGUCCGGAUUUAUUGGGCGUAAAGCGCGUGUAGGCGGCCACACAGGUCCGUUGUGAAAACUCGAGGCUUAACCUCGAGACGUCGAUGGAAACCGUAUGGCUAGAGUCCGGAAGAGGAGAGUGGAAUUCCUAGUGUAGAGGUGAAAUUCGUAGAUAUUAGGAAGAACACCAGUGGCGAAGGCGGCUCACUGGUCCGGUACUGACGCUGAGGUGCGAAAGCGUGGGGAGCAAACAGG